GUAGGGAAUAUUGGACAAUGGGGGCAACCCUGAUCCAGCGACGCCGCGUGAGUGAUGAAGGCCUUCGGGUCGUAAAGCUCUGUUGCAGGGGAAGAACACAAUGACGGUACCCUGCUAGAAAGGAUCGGCUAACUUCGUGCCAGCAGCCGCGGUAAGACGAGGGAUCCUAGCGUUGUUCGGAAUUAUUGGGCGUAAAGCGGGUGCAGGUGGCUUGGUAAGUCAGAUGUGAAAGCCUGGGGCUUAACCCCAGAAGUGCAUUUGAUACUGCUGAGCUUGAGUGCUGGAGAGGCUAUUAGAAUUCCUGGUGUAGUGGUGAAAUACGUAGAUAUCAGGAGGAUACCGGAGGCGAAGGCGGAUAGCUGGCCAGACACUGACACUCAGACCCGAAAGCGUGGGGAUCAAACAGGAUUAGAUACCCGGGUAGUCC
rnacentral:rRNA from 1 species